rnacentral:rRNA from 1 species
AUUGAACGCUGGCGGAAUGCUUUACACAUGCAAGUCGAACGGCAGCAUAGGUGCUUGCACCUGAUGGCGAGUGGCGAACGGGUGAGUAAUACAUCGGAACGUGCCCAGUCGUGGGGGAUAACGUAGCGAAAGUUACGCUAAUACCGCAUACGAUCUAAGGAUGAAAGCGGGGGACCGUAAGGCCUCGCGCGAUUGGAGGGGCCGAUGUCAGAUUAGGUAGUUGGUGAGGUAAAGGCUCACCAAGCCGACGAUCUGUAGCUGGUCUGAGAGGACGACCAGCCACACUGGGACUGAGACACGGCCCAGACUCCUACGGGAGGCAGCAGUGGGGAAUUUUGGACAAUGGACGCAAGUCUGAUCCAGCCAUUCCGCGUGCAGGACGAAGGCCUUCGGGUUGUAAACUGCUUUUGUACGGAACGAAAACGCUCUUACUAAUACUAGGAGUCCAUGACGGUACCGUAAGAAUAAGCACCGGCUAACUACGCGCCAGCAGCCGCCGUAA